rnacentral:rRNA from 1 species
GACGAACCACACAAACGUUAUUCGGAAUCACUGGGCUUAAAGGGUGCGUAGGCGGCGCGGAAAGUAGGGUGUGAAAUCCCUCGGCUCAACCGAGGAAUUGCGCCCUAAACUACCGUGCUCGAGGGAGAUAGAGGUGAGCGGAACUUAGGGUGGAGCGGUGAAAUGCGUUGAUAUCCUAAGGAACACCGGUGGCGAAAGCGGCUCACUGGAUCUCUUCUGACGCUGAGGCACGAAAGCUAGGGUAGCGAACGGG